AUACGGGGGGUGCAAGCGUUAUUCGGAAUUAUUGGGCGUAAAGGGCGCGUAGGCGGUCUUGUCGGUCAGAUGUGAAAGCCCGGGGCUCAACCCUGGAAGUGCAUUUGAAACAGCAAGACUUGAGUACGGGAGAGGAGAGCGGAAUUCCUGGUGUAGAGGUGAAAUUCGUAGAUAUCAGGAGGAACACCGAUGGCGAAGGCAGCUCUCUGGACCGAUACUGACGCUGAGGCGCGAAGGCGUGGGUAGCGAACAGGAUUAGAAACCCCGGUAGUCC
rnacentral:rRNA from 1 species